UCUCAUAUGAAGCAGUGGUGGAUGAGCUACUUUUAUUACAAGACAAAUUAAACCACGGUAUCCUGUCACCCCCCUGUAACUAGGCCUUCACCCUACCUGAACGAGGCAACUGCUGAGGAGAUAACUGGCGUUUUCUUUACGUGACACCCAGUGACCACAGGCCAAAGGUACCCGGCAGCAGGCAGGCUCUAGCCAAAGGGGGGCAUGCAGGGCAGCCAUAGGGCACAGAGAAGACACUGUCCCCUCAUGCGGCUCCGCCUUGUCCCACUAUGAGACGUUAGGAACACGUGAAAUGCCCACACCCCACAUGGUCCCCACAGCGGCAGCGCCCUCAGGGCCGAGGCCGAGGUGAGCAGCCGGGCUCGGCCCCGCGCCGGGCGGCAGGGGCGGGUCCCUCGCCGCGCUCCGCCCCGGGGUGGCGGCGGGAGCAGCGCCGGGAGCGGCGGUGGUCGGAGGGGUGACUUUUGGUACCAGCCAUUUUAGUGAAGGAGCCAAAAGAAAGAGAAGCCUGGAAAAACUAAAGCUGCAAGAACAGGAGCACGUUUGGAAAAGGGGGGAAAAGAGACGGGGUUGAAAGAAAAACACGUGGUGAUGAAAAGAAGUUCGAGAGAGGAAAAAGAAAGCUAAGCUCAAGAGGAGAGAAGAGAGGCAGAUAGAUGGAGAUAAGAAACAUCCCCCAAAGCAGCAGAAGGUACCAGCUGAAGAACAGCAGUGGCCAGAGAAUAUGCCUGAAUGGGAAGAAAGGAAAUCCCUGCUAGCUCAGAGAAGAGUGGAGGCUGUCAGACUGCUUACAGUGCUGUUAAGCCAUGUGAAAAGGCGGACAGUUAUGUGCAGCUGGAGUCGCUCAGAAAGAUACAAGGAAAGUGUAAGAAAAUAUUGCACAAAAAAGUGAAAUUCAAGACCCUUCACAGCACCAUGGCAGCCCCAGAUGUUACCCCUUGUGAUGGCUCACUGCUCCAGGAGACCCUCCAGAGGACAGGAGAUGAGAGGAGAUUAAUGUUGAGAAAAGAGAUGGAUGCAGAUGUCAAAGGAUGCCCUCUAUUUCCUCUUGAGAUAAUUCAGACAGAUGCCUGCUCAGAUACUUUCUGUGGAGCAGAGCCCAGAAGAGGAUGCUGA
rnacentral:lncRNA from 1 species